GAGUUUGAUCAUGGCUCAGGACGAACGCUGGCGGCGUGCCUAAUACAUGCAAGUCGAGCGAGCCGAACCAAUUGAUUACCUUCGGGUAUGAAGUUAGGGAAGCGAGCGGCGGAUGGGUGAGUAACACGUGGGUAACCUACCCUAUAGUCUGGGAUACCACUUGGAAACAGGUGCUAAUACCGGAUAAAAGGAGAGAUCACAUGAUUUCUUUUUGAAAGGCGGCGUAAGCUGUCGCUAAAGGAUGGACCCGCGGUGCAUUAGCUAGUUGGUAAGGUAACGGCUUACCAAGGCAACGAUGCAUAGCCGAGUUGAGAGACUGAUCGGCCACAUUGGGACUGAGACACGGCCCAAACUCCUACGGGAGGCAGCAGUAGGGAAUCUUCCACAAUGGACGCAAGUCUGAUGGAGCAACGCCGCGUGAGUGAAGAAGGUUUUCGGAUCGUAAAGCUCUGUUGUUGGUGAAGAAAGAUAGUGAGAGUAACUGCUCAUUAUUUGCCGGUAAUCAACCAGAAAGUCACGGCUAACUACGUGCCAGCAGCCGCGGUAAUACGUAGGUGGCAAGCGUUGUCCGGAUUUAUUGGGCGUAAAGCGAGCGCAGGCGGAAAGAUAAGUCAGAUGUGAAAGCCCUCGGCUUA
rnacentral:rRNA from 1 species